rnacentral:tRNA from 1 species
UCCUGGGUGGCUCAGUCGGCUGAGCAUCUGACUUCAGCUCAGGUCAUGAUCUCACAGCUUGUGGGUUCAAGCCCCACGUCAGGCU